UGGUUCGGCGCCAUAUCGAGGU
rnacentral:siRNA from 1 species